GACGAACGCUGGCGGCGUGCUUAACACAUGCAAGUCGAACGGAAAGGCCUGCUUUCCCUUGUGGAUUGCGGGUACUCGAGUGGCGAACGGGUAAGUAACUCGUGAGUGAUCUGCCCCCAACUUCGGUAUCAGCCUGGGAAACUGGGUCUAAUUCCCGAUAGGACUGCAGGGUGGUGCCUGUCGUGGAAUACGAUUUUCUAGUGGUUGGGGAUGAGCUCGCGGCCUAUCAGCGUGGUGGUGAGGUAAUGGUCUACCAAGGCGGCGACGGGUAGCUGGCCUGAGAGCAUGGACGGUCACACUGAGACUGGGACACGGCCCAGACGGCGACGGGAAGCAGGAGUGAUGAAUAUAUCACAAUGGGCGGAAUCCAGAUGCGGCGAGGCCGUGUAGAGGAUCUCGGCCUUGGGGAGGUAAACUCCUUGGGACCGCGAGGAGGCAGCUAAGUUGGAAGUGUGGUGACGGUAGUAAUAGAAGAAGCACCGGCUAACUACGUG
rnacentral:rRNA from 1 species